rnacentral:snoRNA from 1 species
AACCCAUGUUGAGGGCACCUACUCAAUAAAUCCUUAUACCUCUCUCAUGCAUCAUAUAGGGUCUCUAAAUCAUUUUAUAUGAAGGAAGAGAUACCAUUCCUCAACUU